rnacentral:rRNA from 1 species
AGUGAACGCUGGCGGUAGGCCUAACACAUGCAAGUCGAACGGCAGCGCAGUAAGAGCUUGCUCUUACGGGUGGCGAGUGGCGGACGGGUGAGGAAUACAUCGGAAUCUACUUUUUCGUGGGGGAUAACGUAGGGAAACUUACGCUAAUACCGCAUACGACCUACGGGUGAAAGCAGGGGAUCUUCGGACCCUGCGCGAUUGAAUGAGCCGAUGUCGGAUUAGCUAGUUGGCGGGGUAAAGGCCCACCAAGGUGACGAUCCGUAGCUGGUCUGAGAGGAUGAUCAGCCACACUGGAACUGAGACACGGUCCAGACUCCUACGGGAGGCAGCAGUGGGGAAUAUUGGACAAUGGGCGCAAGCCUGAUCCAGCCAUACCGCGUGGGUGAAGAAGGCCUUCGGGUUGUAAAGCCCUUUUGUUGGGAAAGAAAAGCAGCAGGUUAAUACCCCGCUGUUCUGACGGUACCCAAAGAAUAAGCACCGGCUAACUUCGUG